GCAAUAUGCGCAUCUAUAAGGAAAGAAAAUGUGUUCUGUUUAUAUAAAUGUUCUUUAAUUCAAUAAUUUAAGCAUAGUUACUUAUUUUGUCAGUUAAUUUUAUAUAAUAUCAAUGAUCACUCGACUUAAGUACUCUUCGAUUUACAUAUUUAGGUAUCGAGUGGACGACGUCUAAUCUGAUAAGAGUCUCCCUAGUCAAGGAAAAAAUGUGUUUAUUUUAACACAGAAAAAUACAGGGAAUACAUAUUUAUGAAGGCGUGUUUAGUGACUAACACUGACGUAGGCUGCCGUCGUUUACGCAUUUUUUUAGAUAAUUGUUCGUCUGGCUUUUCGAUAUAAACAGACGGUCAGCGUGCAACAUUCAUAAGUAGAUUAACCUGCUCAGCGCAACGUUGUGUUCUCAGACAGUGGAUCCUAUAUAUACAAUCAAAAAAUGGCCGACAGCGACCGUAUCGUCUUUCCUGAUGAAGUAGAACAGGUCAAGAUGAAGGUAGUAACAGAGUCGCAAGCAACAAAAACGAAUACUGUGGAAGAAGUACCCGAAGUCCCAGAAGAAGUAGACGUGAAGACCAGGAAUAUGAUUGUAACUCCCACCAACUGUCCGCCGGGACAGAAAAUGGGCGCUGAUGGAAUUUGCCGCGACAUAUUUUAAACUUUCACGUCCUUUUACUACGUAUUAAUUUACUUAAGAUUAAGGUUUCAUAAUGUCGAAUAAUCCCCAUCGAUUCAAAAUCAUGAAUAUUAAGGAUAAAUAAGCAGUAUUAUUUGUUUUGAUUAUUCACUUCAUUUGUUUUUAAGAUCUUUUGAAGUAAACUUAGAUAUAUUUUUUAAAA